rnacentral:rRNA from 1 species
GUCCUACGGGGCGCAGCAGUAGGGAAUCUUCCACAAUGGACGAAAGUCUGAUGGAGCAACGCCGCGUGAGUGAAGAAGGGUUUCGGCUCGUAAAGCUCUUUUGGUAGUGGAGAAAGAUAGAGGUAGUAAAUGGCCUUUAUUUGACGGGAAUUACUUAGAAAGUCACGGCUAACUACGUGCCAGCAACCGCGGUAAUACGUAGGUGGCAAGCGUUGUCCGGGUUUAUUGGGCGUAAAGCGAGUGCAGGCGGGUUAAUAA